AUCAAGUCCGAUGACAUCUCUGAGCUCAGAAGGACCGCUGAUCUCUCCCUCCGCGCCACCAAGGAGACCGCCCGAGCGAUUGGGCGGUCCAUGGCAGCUAUGGUGGCUGCGGAGAGGCAUUUGUGGCUGACCCUGUCUGAAAUGAAAGAGCGGGACAGGGUCUGCCUUAUGGACGCCCCGAUCCAGCCUUCUGGCCUGUUCGGCGACGCAGUCAACACUGUCGUCGACAGGUUUCAGGAGGCUCGCAAACAGGCGGCGGCGUUCCAUAAAUUCCUCCCUCGUCGCUCCCUCGGGGCAUCUGGGCGGGAGAUGCCCCAGCCGCACCCUAGCUCCUCACACCGAGAGGCUCAAAAACGCUCUCGGCCGAGGUCUUCGGAGGCCCAAACAAGAUCUGAGGGCAGUCAUUGAUGCUAAGAAGGCCUCGGCCAAGAAGCCCUGACGCCAGAGAGCCAGGGCGUCAGAGGGCAGCCUCUGCUGGGGUAGAGCGGUGCACACCGCAUUACACGGUGCCCGUCUCGCCUCAGCGCCCUCUGGGGGCCGGUCUGCCAACCCUGCCAGUGUUCCAGGGCGCAGCGGUCCCCAGCGAGCAUCAUUCUCAGUAUCUUCCGCCCGUGCGCGUAGCGGGGCUGAGACGCUCGCCACCCCUGCGGGGGCCUCUUACACCAGAGGUCAGUCUCGAGAGACUGAUUCCCUUAGUAGAUUAUUUGCCAGCGUGGAAACUACUGCCAAAUGUAUCUCAAUGGGUCCUGCACACGGUAGAGAAAGGUUACCGUAUUCAGUUCGGCUCUGCACCGCCGAUGUUCAACGGGGUUACUCCGACGAUAGUCGGCCCCGAGCAGGGUCUGGUUAUGGAACAAGAAGUGAAAGCCCUAUUAGAGAAGGAGGCCAUCGAGGUGGUCCCUCCUCAAGACAGGGAAUCCGGAUUUUACAGCCGGUAUUUCAUAGUUCCAAAGAAGGAUGGGGGGUUGCGUCCGAUCAUAGACCUGCGGGUCUUAAAUCGAUCAGUUGAUCAUAGACCUGCGGGUCUUAAAUCGAUCAGUUAUGAGACUGAAGUUCAAGAUGCUCACGAUCAAGCAUGUUGUAGCGCAGAUCAGGUCCGAGGACUGGUUUGUCACAAUAGAUCUCAAAGAUGCAUACUUCCACAUAUCCAUCCUUCCACAACACAGGAAGUUUCUGAGGUUUGCUUUCGGGGGCGAAGCUUACCAAUAUCGAGUACUUCCCUUUGGCCUCGCACUCUCACCCCGCACGUUCACGAAAUGUGUAGAUGCGGCUCUGGUCCCCCUGCGCAUGCAGGGCAUCCGCAUUCUCAACUACAUCGACGAUUGGUUGAUUUUAGCUCAGUCAGAGCAGGCUGCGGCUCGGCAUCGAGAUGUCGUUCUCGCACAUAUGGGGGAGCUGGGUUUGAGACUGAACGCCAAGAAGAGUGUACUUUCUCCAGUUCAGAGAACCACCUAUCUAGGCGUAGUAUGGGAUUCGACCACGAUGCACGCACGAUUGUCCCCUGCUCGUAUCGAGUCGAUCCUCAUCUCAGUCGAGAGAGUCAAAGAAGGCCAGUCACUCACUGUCAAACAAUUUCAGAGAUUGUUGGGUCUGAUGGCAGCUGCGUCCAACGUGAUACCUUUUGGCCUGCUGUACAUGAGACCCCUACAGUGGUGGCUCAAGACCAAGGGAUUUUCCCCGAGGGGCAAUCCACUUCGAACUAUCAAGGUCACGCGGCGCUGCC
rnacentral:lncRNA from 1 species